GCUGUAUGACUACAAACUAUUGUAUUUACAUGAAAAUGUACAUUAAUACAAAUUGUACCAUUUCAAAAACAAAUGAAUAAAUGAAAUGAAAUGCACACACACAGAAACAAAACCACAAUGAAGACAAACAGCAGGCACAUAGCCAUCACUCUCAACUGCAUCUAAACUCUUAUGUGUGUCAAUUUUCAAUUAUGAUCAGGGAAAAUUUCAGUUUGAGCUCUAAACAGCUUGUUUCAGUGUAUGUCACUUUAAAUAUAACUGCUGUCCACACCCACUUCAGGAAGAAAACUCUCUCUGCAUCUAUGAUCAACCACGCAGAGCAAAACAGUUGACCAACCAGCACACUGCUGAGCCAUGAAUCAGUGCAAGAUCAGGGCUUUCAGUCACUCCUAACUUUCUCUCUGAACAAUUAUUUUACCUUGAAAUAAUUGCUGAAUUCAUUGUCCAUCUGUUCAUGUUAACUCAUCACUGUACUGGGGUUUAGAUAACAUUGCAGUCAUAAAAUCAGUGUUUUAACAAAACAGAACAGCAGUUUGAAAACUUGCCAGUGAACUUUUUCACACUUUUCCACAGUCUGACAACAGAAAAACUGAAUAAUAGCUAAAUAAAAACAGAUUUAUCAGGAACUGGACUGCAUUAAAAUGCAUAUAUGCAUGAGCAGAGGAGAAGCUAACAUCUGCAGAUAGUUUUUAGGGUUUAAAAUUUCAAUUCAAACACAUUUUUCUGGUAAGACAUUGUUUUUUUCUCUUGUUCCUCCACAUAGAACUACAGCCAGAUAAAACUACAUGUGUGGUCGGGUACAGUGUCUCUUUAAUUUCAUUUUUCAGCUGUUCAUACAAUACAUAAUUAUAGAAUAUUAUACAAUAGGUAAAUCGCACUUGCUUUGCACAUCCAGUCUAAACUCCUGACUGAGUGUGCCAGUACACAGAUGCCAUUGUUUAGUUGAGGUUUCUUAGUAACCAAAGCAACGCAAACAUUGACUACCAGAAGUUUGGAGCUGCACCCUAUUUUCAGAGACAAAACUACCAUUCAUCACUCAGAUAUGUUUACAGCACCAGACUCCCAGGGAACGACAGGAGAAAGGAGCCACAAUCAAAUAAAUCAAGACCCAUUCAACACUGAAUUUACCAAGACACUGACAAAAAGCAGCCCACGCUUUGGGGCCUUGAGUCACCACUCAUUCUUCUCCCGGCACAACCCUCAUCCACACCGGGUGACACAUAUUCAAGGACUCAAUGGCAGGCCAAUUUGCAUGGUACGAGAUGACUGGUGUGUCACCUCAUCAUUAUUUCCUCAUCCACUUCUCAAGGGCCACGUCCUCAGGAAAUCACCCGGGCCCGCUUUUACCUUCCCACUCACUCAAAACCUCCAUGCAGUCAGCGGAAACAAUAACAAAUCAGCACUGUUUUCAGAAGCCUGGAGGGAUGAACUUAAAGAACUUGUUGCAAAAGUCAAUCUGUCUUUUCGAGCACAAUUGGGAAAAAAUGAGGACCAACCUGAGGAUGAAUUUGUGCACCAAAAGACUCAGUAUUCAGCUGAUACUGGG